UUAGCAGCAUUUUGCUGGGGGUUGUUUGGGAUUAUUCUUUGUUCUUUGGGGUUAUUAUUUUACUUUAUACUAUUUACGUACCUCAUAGGUAUAUUGGUGAAUUAAAAGGCAAUAAUUAUGAAAAGAAGGAAAGUUCAAGCGCAACGAAAGUUUGCCCAAGGUGUAUAUAUCCCACCAAGUACACAAACCACAAAUAUUGACAAAGUUACAAAUCAUACAAUACAAAAGGACAAUGAGAUUAGAAGCAAUAUCUUUCACAGUAGCACUUCAGCUAAAAGUCUUCUUGACCUCAUAAGCUUUCAAAAUCUACAUAAACAUAGGGAACCUAUCGUCUUGUUAGAGCGAUUGCGACAUUACCCAGAACAACUCCAAGCAUCAUCAUCGGCAGCAUCUCAACAAUAUACUAUAAGUCAAAUGAAAAAAGUAACUACAGCACUUAAACAUAAUAUGUGCCUUCGAUCUAA